ACAAACAAUCCAAAUGUAGAUUAUCCAGGUUUUUGGAAGAAAAAGAAAAUGCCAAUUUUUUAUAGGAAAAUUGUGGAAAGAAAUGUCUCUUACUUUGUUGUUUCAACCAGCAAGAAACAUCACAUCAGCAUAAAAUUCUUUCUUUUUCACAAUUAUAUUUUGGAUUCCACUGAUGCAAACAAACAGGUAGAUCAUCCUUUUAUGGACAUUGGCUUGUUCUUAGUAAUUAGAUCAGACAAAAUUCCAUGCUCAACAAUUAUACAUUGGAGGAUGUUAUUAUGCAUUAACACACUUACCAUCAUUAUAUAUACCCUAUAAUGAAGUAAAUUCCAAAGGAACUAUGGGUCUCAUUUAUGCAAACUGAAAAACAAACAAACGGUGUCAUACAAAUUCCAUGUCUAUACAUUGUCAACCACCUCCUCUUUUGGUAGAUGCAUUGUAUGGUUCCUAAUUCCUUUCUAUGGUUAACUGAUUUUUUAGCAAACAGAACAUUUAAACACCAUCAUUUCGUUGAGGAAUGCGAGUGGGAGUGGCUCAAAUGACAUGGUGAAGGGGCCUAGCAGCAGACGUGACAAUGUGGCACUCUUGUGGGAGACUGAACAGGACCACUGGUGAUUGAACCAAAAAUCAGGCCGGUCUGCUUAUCAGAUAUUUGGGAUUAGAGGCAUGCUUAAGGAUGGCAGAGACAACAUGAAAUUUGUCUUUUCAAGCUAAUUGGGAUGGGAUCCUCAAACAGAGUGGAGUUCUUGGCUAUUGGAACCGACGAGGAGAUUUUCGUGAAUUGAUAGCCGACGGAGACUCUAUAAUGCUGUCUCUUUGGCCUCUAGGAAGUGCAUUUCUGCUUUGAAGCUGAGCCCUAUCUUGAAUGAAUUAAGAGCAAAAUAUUGGGGUUUGCUAAUUUCACACGGAAGCCCUGCCAUCCACAUGCAGGCACAUGUUCCCCUCUUAAGAUCUUCUGCUGUAAAAUCAGGCCACCGACAAACAAGAUGAAUGGAUGAGUAGAAUUUUCGAGGCUUGUCUUCUUUCAGUAAUUUGAGUAGUCCUUGAAAGAUAUCCAGUGAUAAGUGGCCGAGAAGAGCAAAAAGAAAUCAUUCAUAAGGCAGGAUUGCAAGAUUGAUGUAAAAUCUUUUUUCAAUGAAAGGAAUUGGGAAAUCGGUUACAACGGUUGCAAGAAAUGCUCAGUGAUGUGAAGUGUAGAUUGAGUUGGUGUUUUGUUUAUAGCUGGAGUUCCUAGGAGUUAAAAGCUCUUGCACUGUUUGUGUUUGUACUGCAUGCAUAGAAGCUGACACAUUUGGCCUAAAUAUUUUUGUGAGCAUGAAAUGUUUUUAACAACCUAUCAACUUGGCAAGAGAACAGAAUACUGGAACUAGGCAAAAUAUUACAUUUUUUAAUUUAGAAUUAUUUUUUUUGGCAGCUGUUGGACCAUACCAGGAAGUGUCAAUAAUGCAGCCCAAGUUGGAGCAGUGGAAGAAUAUGUAGUGAUUUUUUUUUUAUUCAAAUAAAAAUACUAGGGAGAUCACUGUCUGCAGUUGCCUAAUCAUGGCAUCAUACGGGUGCUUAAGUGAAGAUCUCAACUUUCCGAUGGCUCAAUGAGAUGCCACAUACUUUGUGGAAAUUUCAAAUACAAGUCGAAUCUUGAUCGCCAAUCUCCCUAUUGAAAACCUGGCUACAAUUUUGCCCCUUCCAACAAAUACCAUUCUAUAAAUGGAUUCAGUCAAAUUUCCUUCCAAUACAGCAUCUUGGAUUAGAGAAGCGGUGCCUCUCAUCCCUUUCAUGUUCAAGUCUUUGAGGGAAAGGGGGGUACUAGUCAAAGUAAAGGUCAUCUUCUCUGCAAUUGAGGAUCUGUGGCUCAGCCCAUUCAUGAAUGGGGUCGACUUGACUGCAUGGUCAGAUGAUCAGGACCACCACCCAACUGCUUACCCCUUCUGUUGUGGAUGAUUGUAUAGAAGACAAACUGAUGGUAGAAUCUGAGCUACUUGACUUAAAAGCUACAUAGUCAA